rnacentral:rRNA from 1 species
UACGUAGGGGGCUAGCGUUGUCCGGAAUCAUUGGGCGUAAAGCGCGUGUAGGCGGUCCGGUAAGUCCGCUGUGAAAGUCGGGGGCUCAACCCUCGGAUGCCGGUGGAUACUGUCGGGCUUGAGUACGGAAGAGGCAAGUGGAAUUCCUGGUGUAGCGGUGGAAUGCGCAGAUAUCAGGAGGAACACCAAUAGCGAAGGCAGCUUGCUGGGACGGUACUGACGCUAAGGCGCGAAAGCGUGGGGAGCGAACAGG